UAGGGAAUCUUCCGCAAUGGACGCAAGUCUGACGGAGCAACGCCGCGUGAGUGAAGAAGGAUUUCGGUUCGUAAAACUCUGUUGCUAGAGAAGAACAGUGCAUAGAGUAACUGUUAUGCGUGUGACGGUAUCUCACCAGAAAGCCACGGCUAACUACGUGCCAGCAGCCGCGGUAAUACGUAGGUGGCAAGCGUUGCCCGGUUUUAUUGGCGUAAAGCGAGCGCAGGCGGUCAGUUAAGUGAGAUGUGAAAGCCCCCGGCUCAACCGGGGAUGGUCAUUGGAAACUGGAUGACUUGAGUGCAGAAGCGGAGAGUGGAAUUCCAUGUGUAGCGGUGAAAUGCGUAGAUAUAUGGAGGAACACCAGUGGCGAAGGCGACUCUCUGGUCUGUAACUGACGCUGAGGCUCGAAAGCGUGGUUAGCAAACAGG
rnacentral:rRNA from 1 species